AUGCCGCUCUCCAGUCUGCUGUGGGUGUUCCUGGCCUUCACCUUCUCUGGGUACAGUGUGGCCCAGCAAGUAACUCAAGUCCAGACAGCUGUACCCAGUCAAGUGGGGCAGACAGUCACCCUGAAUUGUCGAUAUGAAGUAAGUUGGACCACGGCCUUCUACUACAUUUUUUGGUAUAAACAGCUUCCCAGGGGAGAGAUGACUUUGCUUAUUCGUCAGUAUUCAGAACACGGUAAUACAAGGAAUGGCCGCUACUCUGUAAACCUCCAGAAAGCACACAAAUCCCUCAGCCUCAUCAUUUCAGCCUUACAGCUUGAAGACUCUGCAAAGUACUUCUGUGCUCUCUGGGAGCUCACAGUGCUUGAAGUAAUGGGAAAAGCUGAACAAAAACCCCAGAGCUUAAUAAGAGAGAGCCCCACUGCUUCAGGACCUUAG